UUCGCUUAUUGGCCUUUUGGCUAAGAUCAAGUGUAGUCAUUCUUAUCAGUUUAAUAUCUGAUACGUCCCCUACCCGGGGACUGCAUAUUAAAUUGAUUUUUGGAUCACGGAGCUGGAGCUGGAGCCGGGCUUGUAAUGGGGCAGUCGUGGCCUAGAGUCGGACUCGUAACCCAAAGGUUGCGAGUUCGAGUCUCAGGUC